rnacentral:rRNA from 1 species
UACGUAGGGACCAAGCGUUGUUCGGAUUUACUGGGCGUAAAGGGCGCGUAGGCGGCAAUUCAAGUCAUCUGUGAAAUCUCCGGGCUUAACUCGGAACGGUCAGGUGAUACUGCUUUGCUAGAGUGCAGAAGGGGGCAAUCGGAAUUCUUGGUGUAGCGGUGAAAAUGCGUAGAUAUCAAGAGGAACACCUGAGGUGAAGACGGGUUGCUGGGCUGACACUGACGCUGAGGCGCGAAAGCUAGGGAGCAAACGGG